rnacentral:rRNA from 1 species
CCUACGGGAGGCAGCAGUGGGGAAUAUUGCACAAUGGGGGAAACCCUGAUGCAGCGACGCCGCGUGAGUGAAGAAGUAUUUCGGUAUGUAAAGCUCUAUCAGCAGGGAAGUGAAUGAAGGUACCUGAGUAAGAAGCCACGGCUAACUACGUGCCAGCAGCCGUGGUAAUACGUAGGGGGCAAGCGUUAUCCGGAUUUACUGGGUGUAAUGGGAGCGUAGACGGCGAAGAAAGUCUGAAGUGAAAGCCCGCGGCUCAACCGCAGAACUGCUUUGGAAACUUUUUUGCUGGAGUACCGGAGAGGUAAGCGGAAUGCGUAGUGUAGCGGUGAAAUGCGUAGAUAUUAGGAGGAACACCAGUGGCGAAGGCAGCUUACUGGACGAUAACUGACGUUGAGGCUCGAAAGCGUGGGGAGCAAACAGGAUUAGAUACCCCUGUAGUC